GAUGAACGCUCGCUACAGGCUUAACACAUGCAAGUCGAGGGGCAGCAUGAUUGAAGCUUGCUUCAAUCGAUGGCGACCGGCGCACGGGUGAGUAACACGUAUCCAACCUGCCGAUAACUCGGGGAUAGCCUUUCGAAAGAAAGAUUAAUACCCGAUAGUAUAGUAUUUCCGCAUGGUUUCACUAUUAAAGAACUUCGGUUAUCGAUGGGGAUGCGUUCCAUUAGAUAGUUGGCGGGGUAACGGCCCACCAAGUCAACGAUGGAUAGGGGUUCUGAGAGGAAGGUCCCCCACAUUGGAACUGAGACACGGUCCAAACUCCUACGGGAGGCAGCAGUGAGGAAUAUUGGUCAAUGGACGAGAGUCUGAACCAGCCAAGUAGCGUGAAGGAUGACUGCCCUAUGGGUUGUAAACUUCUUUUAUACGGGAAUAAAGUGGAGUAUGCAUACUCCUUUGUAUGUACCGUAUGAAUAAGGAUCGGCUAACCCCGUG
rnacentral:rRNA from 1 species